GACGAACGCUGGCGGCGUGCCUAAUACAUGCAAGUAGAACGCUGAAGGAGGAGCUUACUUCUCUGGAUGAGUUGCGAACGGGUGAGUAACGCGCAGGUAACCUGCCUGGUAGCGGGGGAUAACUAUUGGAAACGAUAGCUAAUACCGCAUAAGAGUAGAUGUUGCAUGACAUUUACUUAAAAGGUGCAAUUGCACCACUACCAGAUGGACCUGCGUUGUAUUAGCUAGUUGGUGGGGUAACGGCUUACCAAGGCGACGAUACAUAGCCGACCUGAGAGGGUGAUCGGCCACACUGGGACUGAGACACGGCCCAGACUCCUACGGGAGGCAGCAGUAGGGAAUCUUCGGCAAUGGACGGAAGUCUGACCGAGCAACGCCGCGUAAGUGAAGAAGGUUUUCGGAUCGUAAAGCUCUGUUGUAAGAGAAGAACGAGUGUGAGAGUGGAAAGUUCACACUGUGACGGUAUCUUACCAGAAAGGGACGGCUAACUACGUGCCAGCCGCCGCAGUAA
rnacentral:rRNA from 1 species